CAAGUUGUAGAACAUGAAUUGCUCUUUGUAUUUGCAGAGAAAAAACAACUUGAUAGUGAGGCUGCAUAAAUUGAUGAAUCUAGAGAGAUAAGGCAUCAUCAUCCUUUCUCUACCUCGACCCUCACCUGUGACGAAGUUUGCCUCUAUCCCCAUCUCCAUCAUCGCUGCCAUCUCCGAUGAUCUUAGAUCGAUCGAGAUCUCAAAUCGAACAUCCAACAACCUGUUAUGGACAGAUCUAGAGAGAUAAGAGAUCUAGAUAAAUCGGCAGAUCAAUAAAUUGUCGAGCGAAGCAUAACCAGCAUUUGAAAUAGAGGUUUGUACCCCUUCGAACUAGGGUUUGAAUCGACAGAUUUGUGUGUGUAUGUUCUUGAACUAGUGUCCUUCAAGUGCAUUCUUUGUCUUCAUGUGAGAUUUUACGUCACAUUUUCGUAUUGAUCAAUUUUCUCUUUGUAUGGUGAUACUUUCUAUUGCAUUUGUUGUUUGUUGA